UGAGCUGUUCUGCCUCCAUCUUAUAAAGUACAUGCAAUGCCAGAUUAUGGAACGGCUAAUGCGAUGCCUUUUUUUGCUCGUAUCUCGGCAAGAAGUAACGAAAUAAGGAAUGUUUUGCCACUCAAAAAGUAAAUUUGUUAAAAUUUAUAAGGUUCACUUGGCAUUGGUAGCAAUGAACCUACAUUGCGGUAAACUUGGCCUUUGAUUUUGAAUGUAGAAUUAAAUUGUUGACCAUUUGCAGCAGUAUUUUGAACUAUUUCCCCUUCAUUUGAAAAAAUGAAUUGAAUUUUCGAAUUGAUUGCAAAAACAGCAAAGAAUCUGGAUCAGUACCAAUAAGGAAGCCGUGCAAUGGUUCCGGCGGUAUUUCAAUUUCUGGGAGUUUUACUUUUCCUGAUGAGCAACACAUCCCGACCGGCUCAUUUUUAAAUUUAAGGGCAUAGCAGUGCGGGCAUUCCAAUGUACCAAUCAAUCGUGAAUUGUGAUGCACGUAACUACGCCAUGCUUACACGGACAUCUGCAUUGCUUUGUUGCCUUUCUUCAUCUGAUCUUUAAGCUCUGCUAUCUUGCUUCUAGAUUUGAGUGUUCGACGACUCAAAUUAGCCUCCUUGCGUUUUCGUGACAUUGCUGUCUGUUAAUCAAACAUAAAUAAAUGAAGUUGAAAAACUGUUUGAUGAUAAACAGUGACGUAAUAUCGUAUUUGAUGGCUCAUUAUUUGCCUUACCUUUUAUACUAAUAAAUCACGUUCACGUAUUAAUAAAAUGUGCAUGAAUAAUUGUUUAACAUGAGAGCAUGACCGAACACAGUCACUGUUAUCAAGCCUACUGGGUAAAUUCUCAAUGACAAUGCAAAGAUCCUCUAUGGAAAUCAAUGCUUCAUUAUACAUUGCGUCACUGAAUAAUAUCGUAAGGUCGUUGCGUCAAAAAAGAAAAAAAAAAAUUAAUGGUGGCCUACCCUUUAAACUUAGGGCCAUGAAAAAUAGAUGUUGGCCGAUUCUCAGACCUACCCGACUUGCACACAACAUUUCGUGAGAAUCGGUCGAACAGUUUCGGAGGAGUUAGGCAACAAACGAGAGAAUUUUAUAUAUAAGAUUAUAUAUAGCGCAGCGAGUUUCGGUGGCCGUCUACUUCUCAAACGAUUCUGGCUUCCCUCUAAUUUUUUGUGCCUACCUCCGAACCAUCGCCGACAGCUAAAGGGCGAUUUUUUAGCUAUUAUCUUUUUGGCAACACUGAUUUAAACAGCUGACGCACGUUUCGUGUUUUGUUUCACUGUCAAACAUCUUCAGUUUGGUCUAUAAUUUAACCAUGAAUCGUCUCACAAACGAACAACGCUUGCAACAUAUUGAAUUUUAAUAUCAAAAUGCGUGCUCUGUUAAGAAAGUUCAUCGCGCGCUUUUUCCGUUUUAUGUUCAGUUUAAUCGACCCACUGGAGCGGCUAUUCGGGCUAUUGUGACUAAAUAUCGCACCAAAUUUAUAUUAGUGGACAUUAACCCACCAACACGCUUACGUAAAGUGCGAACUGAAGAAAAUAUCGCAGCUGUAUCGACCAGUGUUAAUGAUGACCACGAAUGAUAGAUUCGUCGCCGUUCGCAGCGCUACCACGGACAAUCGUAAUGCAACUUUCAGAGCAUGAUUAUAUGAUUAGAAUUAAAUCUGAAAUCUCCAGGUCUAAAAG